AUAAAAUGGGGCGCUGUCCCCUGAGUCCCUUCACUCUCAAUUUGUUUUUUUUCUUACUAAUAUCUUUAGUUUAAUAUUAAUAUGUAAAUUGAUUUCUUUUUUAUAAUUUUUAUUAUAAUAUGUAAAUUAAUUAGUGGACCAAGUAACGUUUCUUCUUUUUUUAGGUCCAAGUGAUUCUUGUACCCCCAUUUCACCUUUUC
rnacentral:lncRNA from 1 species